rnacentral:sRNA from 1 species
GCUGGGUGCAGUGGUGCACACCUGUAAUCCCAGUGGCUCGGGAGGCUGAGACAGGAGGAUCAUGAGUUCAAAGCCAGCUUCAGCAACAGUGAGGUGCUCACCAACUCAGUGAAACUCUGUCUCUA